UCUUCCUUUCCUCUAAUUUGUAUAAAUGUAACACCCUGGGCACUUAUUGUUUUAAAUGAGGUGGACUGCCACUCAGAACAACAGAAGUGUAGGAGGGAAUGUGUUGGCUUAUAUAGUUAUGACGAUUUAGGAGUGAGAAUGAAUGAAUUUGGACUUCGUUCAACAGAGGGUUCUGCAAACAAUGGCACUAAAUUCUCUCUCUCUCUCUCUCUCUCUCUCUCUCUCUCUCUCUCUCUCUCUCUCUCUCUCUCUCGUGUAUGGGGGCGGGGUAUAUACAUAUGGACAGAGGUCAGAAGUGGUUGUUCUGUGGACCUGGAAUUUCAGAUAGUUGUGAGGCACCCAAUAUGGAUGUUGGUCCUUGGAAAGCAUCAUCUCUAUAGCCAUUUUUCCUGCCUCCGUUCCUUCUUCCCUUCUUUACCUGCAUCAUGUCAUGAUCCUCCCAUUCAAGCAACUGUUCAUACUAUUCUCCUUUAGGUCACCUCUGCCUUCCUCUGGAGUUCUGGCUGAUAACAUCAAGUCCAAAUUCUGCUGUUCUGAGAAACUGGACUGAUGUUCCCAGUGGCAUGAUUAUAGGUGCUGUUCACGUUUAAACAACCAUGGCACUGGCAAGUCUAGCAGGAGGUUGGUGUUCAUGAUGGCACAUUGAGUUUUCUUGAAGAAAGGGAGCUUUCUUCAAAGACAUCUGAGUCCUUUAUAUACAAAGGAAACAAGGGAGUGACUGGUGAGCUUAUGGGUAAGGCAAGUUUUAUUAUUUCUUCUCAAAACAGGAAUCUGUUAGUCUUGGCUGGCAGAGGUGUGUAGAACAGUGGUACAUGAUCACAAAUAGUCUGUAGGUUACUCUCUGAUCAUUCUGAAGUCCACCUUUAUUUGGUUUUCCUAUCUUUAUGUCCUUCUUCCAAGAGGAACAUAGAUCCAUUAAUUUAAAUUUCUUCCUUUGAGAGAUCAAAACCACAUCCUCUUACACACAGUCUCUUGUCCCCUGAGUAAAGGCUAGAACAAAGGAAUUUCUAAGUAGUCACACACAAAACACAUAGUACAGUAUGUGUUGGGCUAGAUCCCGAACUUUAAAAUGAAAAUAUAGCUCUCCUUUGUAACAGGUGCCUCAUCUCAAUCCAAAAAAAAUAAAAAAAUUUAAAAAAUCAAAUUUCCUGAAAGUGGCUGUGUUUUGAAAUGCUUCAUUUCUAAGUGUCAUAGGCCUAGCUUGCCCCCUCGAUGCUAAUGCAUGUGUAUAUUUUUCAAAUGUACCUCUUGGGAACAUUACAAUAAAACAUUUCAUUAUCUAUCUCCCUUUUAUUUUUUUUCCAAGUGAUGUCUCUGCUAGAUAUAGAAUGCAUGUAAUUCACUGUUGCUUUUAAUUUGUCAGUACAUUAAUUUUAGUUGAUAAAGAAGUUAACUGGAUCUGCUGUCCCAGUUAUCGUUCAUAAUUCACACUCAUGUGCCUCUGCUUCUCCAAAUCUCUGGUGGGGGGGGGGGGGUUAUAUAGCUUUUAAGUCGUCAUUGACCCAAGAGACCGUUCAAGGGUGAUGAUAGUUUUGCAAGCUGGUUUGUAUGCAUCAGUCAUGACCUUUUCUCUAAAGACACCCAGCUGCUCUUAGCUGCACCUUGACCUCCAAAAGACACUUAUUACGAAUCAAUUUCAUAGAUUCUCCUGAAAUAAUCCAGAAUGUCUCUGGUAGGAAAUAAUAAAAGGGCACCAAUUUAUUGUCCUUUAGAAGUUGCAAAGAGCAAAUGAAUCAUGAAUUUUCAAUGAACGUCUAGGGACUCUAUUAAGUUUCUCAUGGGUUACUUUCAGCUGUACUAUCAUGUCCUAAAAUUUGAGGGAAGGGGGAGGUAACCUUUUUAGACGCUACAGCAAUUUCUGAGUACAAAGAGGCAUAAGUGUUCUCUCUGUGUGCAAAUCCAGAAUCCCAGUAGGCUGUAUGGGAUAGGAUGUGAGUUUGGAAGAGAUGACCAUGGGCCUGAUGCUUGUUUACAUUUUAAUCAAAUGGGGACUCCAAACGUUAGCGAACAUUCUUGGGAGUCCAACAGAUUUCGUUCUUGAAGUCAUUUAACAUAAUCCUGCAAUUAGAUACUGACCUUUCCUUUUUUCAUUCUAUAACAAAAAUUUGUACACAGUUGGUGCCUAAUAAGUGCUGGUGGAGAUGAACUUAAGUCCGACCUCAAUUAUUUCCCCGUCUAUGAUUUUUAUUAAAUCCAUUUCUUAUCACCGUGGAUACACACACGGACAUGACUUUGCUUCCCGAUGCCCCUGCCUUUAUUUCAAAAGUUUUUACUGGAGCAUGUCAGUGAAACACGCAUUUCAGAGCAAAUGCGGACUAGAUAGCAGCAACUGUGCUUCAAAGAGUUUGUACACUGGGAUAUUAAUUUCCAUUUCAGAGUAUUUCUAUCCAUGCAAGAUGGAUGCUCUGCUUUCAACUUAUUAGUUACAUAAAUGAGCUUAUCUAUUUCUAAUUUUGACUUAAUAUAAAAAGCAUCGCAUUUUAGGUUUCAUCCGUCUAAUUUUCAUCUCGUAUAAUUAUUUGUGGUAAGCUGCCAUCUGUUCACCAGGUUCAUGCGGAUAAUAUUGGAUAAUAUUAAAGGUAUGUGUUCUCCAGUAGUGGAAUAUCUACAUUCAUAAGUCACGCUGCGUUUCCCAGGGACCCAGGGACGCGGUGGUUGAAACCAGGCUGCUCCCAGGGAAAGCCAUGUCACCACAGCAAUACACAAGAAGAAGCGCUCCUUAGUCCUCUCUGUCAUUUCCAGUUAUGGUUUAAAGCAGGUGGCUGAUUCUCAAAGACCUUCCUUACCGUAGGCGAAAAUGUAAAACUUAUUUUGAUGACUUCUUCUCUCCUCAGCCUCCCAGCCAUCUUGAAAGGCUCUUCUGUCCUCUUUGAUAUCACCAGCACUUCAAAGGAAAUUGAGAGCCUCGGUUCCUUUAGCAAAUGAUUCAGGUAGCAGCAUGCGGAUCCCUCUAAAUGGUAUAAAGCCCUGAUGCAUAGGUGAAGGCUGGUAAGAUUUACAUAAUUCGAGUUUAUUAGCCUCCUGCGCUUGAAGGCUGUUUUGUACCUCCCCAGACUUGUGCAAAAAUGGUUGGGUGAUAUUGAAAAGAGCCCAGUCUGCAGCAACUUGGAAAACAAUCUACUUCACACCAAAUACAGCUACGAAAUACAUGCCAACUUUUCCUUCUUUCUAUUAAUAAGCAUUUGUUCUAGAGCCUUUGUAGUCCCUCCACCACUGCAAAAGUUGCCACUUCUUGAGAAACAUAGACAAAAUAUUUACAAAGCAUAUAUGGGGCUAGAGUGGCAGGCAUUUUCAAACACAAUCAAGGAAAAACCGAUCAAUUUAUUUAUUUAUUUAUUUAUUUAUUUAUUUAUUCAUUCGGCUUUGUAUCUUGGUAGCUCACAUAGCAUUUUAUUGAUGGUGUUUGCCUUACAAACAACAUAAGCUCAAGUCUUUAAGGUCCUUUGUUAUAACCUGUUACAUCUUCAGCCUCUUAAUCUACUUUUUAAAAGGUGGUUUAUCUCAGUAAAAACAAAAUGAAAAUGAUAAAUAAUCUGUUUUUCUCAUUUAUGGUGAGAGCACCCAGUAUUUUGGUCACGACUAUGAAUGUUUUCAAAACUGUCAAGUGAAAGGAUUUCUACACUUCAUCUAAAUUGAUAAAGCUGGCAUGUGUAACGAGAUUUCUCAACACGGUUAUAUCAGGAGUAAAGUAAAGAACUAAUAAUUAUAAUAAUGGUAAGCAACAUACCCUGGUUGUUAGAAGCCAGUUGUCUUCCUGUGGACUAUCCUGUACCCAACCGUUUAAUUCUUAUAGUAACUCCAUGAAGCAAAUGCUAGGAACAUUAAGUUAAAGAAGAAAAAGGUGGUUGCAGGUAGUUAGCCUUAGUACUACCCAAGUACCCUACUGUGAGUGAUAGCUUGAGCCAGAAUUCAGAGGCAAGCAUUCUAUUUCAAGAAUCUUCUGUCAUUGAUGAAAUGCCCCUUAUAUUAAAAUAUACUGGUUUAUUCAUAUUUGAGUAAAAUGCAUAUGAAGGUUACUAUUUCAACUAUUUUGAAAUGUAUCAUUGAGUGCUACUAACAUGUUUAUUCUAUAAACGUAAACAUCAUCUAUUUCUAGAACUCUCUUUGCCUUGGAACACUGAUGCCCUGGACCCUUUGAUUAUAGCUCCCUAGUUCUUUCUCUCCAUGACCCCAGUCAACAUUCGUUCUGCCCUCUCUCUUUUGUAACUGCUACUCUUCUAGGUAUUUCAUACAUCAACAUAUAUGAAUCUCACAUAUCUGCCUGUUUUUGUCUUUCUUACAUCACUGGGCAUAAAAUCUUCAAGGUUUAUACAACUGCUGAUAGUAUGUAAAUGUUAUUUCAUAAAUGGCUAGGACCACAGAGCACUCUGGAUUUCCUUGUAUGUACAAAUACACAUGACUAAACACAAACAUCUCGGGUUUCUGUCAUAUCAGGAAAUACAAGAAACAGAAGAGGGAGUAUGUAGCUUUGUCCCACUUCUUCUGGGUAAAUAUUUCAAGUAAAAGGAGUCAUGGAUUCAGAUACUGUCAUGUCAAAAUUGAAGAUGAUGAAGAAACUUCAUGCCAUGGUGAAGAAUCUAGAGCCAAAUUUAGCCUGGAAUACCACCAGCACUGUGGUUCUUCCAGAGAUACUAUUCAGUAUCUCUUGUAUGAAUGGGAUAGACAUCAUGGGGUGGAGAAGUUAAAAGACGAAUACAGUGGGCCCUAGGACGUCUCCAUCACCGAAUGCAGAGCACUCUUUACUUGUAUCAACAGAGAAGAUAUUUGAUGCUUUCUUUCCUUUAUUGGUAUCAUAAGGUAAAACUCUCCCAUGUAGUCCAGAUAUGGGCAACAGAACAUGUAUAAGAAUGUAUAUUUUCUGGAUCAGCAUCUAUAAACCAUAGGUUUUCGGGUACAGGAAAGUGAACACUAGUUCUCUAUCUCAGAAUUACUAUCACUGAUUAUAAUUAUAUCCAUGUGUGCAUUGCUACAGAUACAGUAACUACUGUGAACUAACAUGAACAAGCACCAUUCUGGCCCCUUUUCCCCGUUUCAUAUGAGUCUCCCAUACCAUGUCAGUCUUGCACCUUUCUUGUGGUAUUUUUAUCUCCUCACAGAAGAUUGGCAAGAGAGAGAGAGAGAGAGAGAGAGAGAGAGAGAGAGAGAGAGAGAGAGAGAGAGACAGUCAGACAGACAGACAGACAGACAGAGACAGAGAGAGACAGAGAGAGAGAGAAAUUAGUCCAAUGUCACAAUGUUGGCAAAUGGCAGAACAUCCGGAGUUGCAAGUAAGAACACUCUUGAUCAAUACUAUCCCCUUGAGUAACUUUCUCCACCUCACAAUGCAAAGUGUUCUCUACCAUAUACGUGUGGGUUGGUAUUUUUCGAAUCUCAAAAGACAUUUCAUUUGAUGCAUGCCUCACUUGUUUUAUUUACACAUUAUAAGAGAGUAAGCUGUUUUGUCCCUUUCUCGGUUAUUAAAAGAUCAAGGAGCUUCAUUUCAUAUGAGCAAACCAAGUGUGAAUCCAGAACUUUUCCUCCGAUGUUAAGAACAGGACCCUGACAUUUGAAUCUCCCUGAAAUCUGAAUUUAGGAGAAAACAACAGAAACAAAAACAAACAAAGAAGCAAACAAAAACCCAUCUCUGUAGCAAGGGAGAUGCUACUUUCAGGAAAAGAUAAUGGAACCCAAAAUGGCAUGCUGGUCACUCUUCAUGUUUCUCUUGUGCAGCUGACUAAAUUGCUGACUCAGAGAACUGUUCUUUUUGAAAGGCUUGCUUCUCAUUCGAGAUAGGUGAAGAGUUUCAAUCUGGAAGAAAAGUGCAUGAGCGCUCAAGGAAAAGCACCUUGGAGAGUGAACACUGUUUUCUUUACUUUGAUUCCCUUCCCAUAAAGGGAAUAUGCAAUGUUAAUGAAUUAAGCCCUGAUGCCAUCUUCAGCCCCGCAUUUACUGACGAGCAAUUCUUCGACAAGUAUGAAUUCUCUGUCUACAUGUGAGUAAUAAAAAAGUUUAACAUCUGCUGUAAUCUAAUCAUCUAUCUAGGUACACAGUUUUUAUAGCAGGAAGGGGGGAAACGAAGCAAAAUCCCUUAAUGAUGAAUUGCUGAUGUGAGCCAGAAUCCUAAGGACCACUUAGGCGUGUGCUUUAUGGUCCUUGUUAUCCAACAUUACCUAUGGAAGCCCCUGAACUACACCCAUUCUUACUAUUAACAACAUAAAUAGUGAAGAGUCAAAAGUGGGCCCAUUUGGGACAACUGACCAAAACCUUUCUGAGUGCUCUGUAGGGACCAGAUGCCCAACACUGGCCCUUCACGACAUGGAGACAGUGGCCAAUUGCCAUUGUGAAAAAGAUAGGAUCAUGUUUCAGCUUUCAGAUAUCAUUUAUUAGUAUUAACAAGAGGCUCGUUUCUGUGCGAGUAAAUUCUCAAAGAAAACGUGCAUAGCAGUGUGUUCACCAGAAAUAUGCUGAAGUGUUCAGAUUUAACUUAGAUAAUCAGUACAUAUAGUAUACAGUUGAGUCUAAUUUAUGAUCCAUAACAUCUCCAGGAAACUUUCUCAAGUUCACCAUGCUACAGCGAUAUGAUUAUCAUGGGAAGAGACUUAACCCCUCUGCCACCCUCCAAAAUAAAUCCUUCUGUAUGUCCCUCAGAUUAGGAUAAUCUGAUAUUGUUGGAGGGGUUUGUGAUGCCACGUAUAUAGGCUCUGAUAUAAUAAUAUGAGGUUUUCUGCAUGCUGAUGGUAAUCAGACAGGUGGAUCUUUUCUUGUGUUAAGAGCCUUGAAAGACUCUUUUAAUGUAGCUGAGUUGCUGAGACGAUGAGAGGUAAUUCCAAGUACACAGAACUUGUAUUACUCAUUAUAAAAAUCCAAUGAAGUGGGAGGGAGGCAGAGACAGGCAGAUUUCUGAGUUCGAGGCCAGCCUGGUCUACAAAGUGAGUUCCAGGACAGCCAGGGCUAUACAGAGAAACCCUGUCUCAAAAAACAAAAAGACAAACAAACAAACAACCCCACAAAAAAUCCAAUAAAGCAGUCUCUCCCUCUCCCUCUCCCUCUCCCUCUCCCUCUCCCUCUCCCUCUCCCUCUCCCUCUCCCUCUCCCUCUCCCUCUCCCUCUCCCUCUCCCUCUCCCUCUCCCUCUCCCUCUCCCUCUCCCUCUCCCUCUCUCUCUCUCUCUCUCUCUCUCUCUCUCUCUCUCUCUCUCUCUCUCUUUCUCUCCUUUUCCUUCCAUGAUGUCCAAUGACAUCAGGAGUGAUGUAAGGAAAAGCUGAGUCCCUGGUUCAACUUGAGCGUGCCCCCCCAACCCCCAAUAUGAUGAUGUCAUUCAUGCUUCAGAGCCAACCUGUAAAUAUGAAUACAGUGUGCUUCUUAUCUGAUACAUGAGGCUCCCUGUGGGUAGGGAACACACCCACCAUCACAAAGAUGGUAGAUGGUGGACUUGGGAUUUAAAAGUAACUGCUUUAAUCUUAAAUCUGUGAGUAGCUGUGGUGUAUAACUACAUCACCACUUUAGUUCUUCAUGGCACUGGUCUAAAUGUGACCUCUCUUCAGAAAGGUCUAAUGGUGACUGAUUUCUGGUGAGACCCUCCCAAUCUGGUUACCUUCUCUACUCUUUAGGCAUUGAAAUGGUUCUUUACACUUAAAGAAAAGAUAAACCUGGCACUUGCCAGCACUAUGCCCUUUUCAUGGCCCACUGGACUUUUGAGGGUCUCCAAUGAGAGUUUGGCAUUUCACUGUUGAUGCUUCAUUUCUCUACCAUAGACCUUUGUGAUGCCUAAGGACAAAUGUCUCUAUUUGUGUCACAAUAGCACAGCCACACCAUUUUACAUUCUUUUGGGUUUGGGAGGAUAGAUCAAGUUCAUUUCCAACCUCAUAUCUCACAGCCUCCAAAACCCUAACAAAGCAGAUUAAACUGAAUUAAUACAGAUACUCUACAUGUAUAUACCAUGUGACAAGUUACUUCAUUCUGUCCUUUCCUGAUCCUUGUCUAUAUAUUAAUAGACAUGGUUAUCUCCUACCAUAAGAAAAUCUUUCAGAGGACAUAUUUUCUCGGAAAACUAAAUUAUCUUUGUUACUGAACAUCUAUGAAUGAGUUAAUUUUUAAAUAUUACUGACUUGGAAUACAUUGAUGGAAAAUAACUUUUCAAAGUACACUUAAGUUGCUAUUAUGGGAACAUACAUCUUCUGCUUCACCCAGAUUCUAGUUUAGAUUACAGAUUUUCAGAUGCAGUUUACAUCUAAGCAGUCUAUAGACUAUAUUUAGGAGGCCUCAAAUACUAUUGCUUAAAAACGUGCUUUAGAAUUGGAGUUUUUUGCUACUUGUGUCCAAGUUGCAUAGUGUAAUGAAGACAGACAUCACACAAUAAAGUAGGUAUCAUCUAGAAAAAUAUGUCGUGAUUUUUGGAUCAUUGAUAAUCUCAAAAUUUUAUCUUCAAGUGAUGCUCAGCUUUGGUAAAACAAAAUUGAAAAUAUAAUAAACAAACAAUGAAUGAAUGAAUGAAUGAAUGAAUAAAUAAAUAAAGGUGAGACCAUGUAUAAUUUUUAUGGCAAAAUGAAGCAUUUUCUAGAUCUUUCAAAAACAUCAUCAAAGUAUUUUCAUUGCAUAAAAAUAUCUUUUAUUCUGACAAUUUUGUACACGUGUACAGUAUUCUUUGAUCACAUCAAUCCUUGUUUGGCAGGUGGAAAGGAUGGAGCCUAUGCAUUUUCAGAGAGAUCUUCAAAUGAGAUAUUUAAACUUUGCUCCAGAGAACCCUUCCUAAAUUUUAUGACAACAGAGGCAGUUCUUGGCUCAUUUUCAUAUUUGCUGUAGUGAAAAGGCUAGAAUUAUGAUGCAGAAAAGAGAAGCUUUUAUAGAACACCAUGAUACUGAAUCAGCUGAAAUAAAAUUUUAUGUGGUAGUCCAUUCUUCAGUUCCGACAUGAUUUAUAUGUGUGCUAUGACACUUACACAUCCACUUUAUAGAUGAUUAACUAUUUAGUCAAACCUUAUAUUUGUGGAUAUUUGUGGGGUAACAAAGUUCAUCAGGAUCUUGAUCAGAAGAAGUAAACCCCACAACCUGGUGCCUGUUGUCUUCCUGUUUAAUUAGAGCAUCAUUUCACCAGCAGAAUAUCCCACUUGAGUACAAAGAGGGUUGCUAGAUGUUUUCUAGUUCCCACAGUUAAAAUAUUCUAUUCUGCAAUGCCAGAGAGCUUGUAUGUGAGUGUUGGAAAUAAGCAGAAAGUGAAAACCAAAGUAUUGAAGUAAGAGGAGAAUCUAAAGUCCCUGUGUCCAUCACACAUGGGGAAACAUUAAAUGAAUGUGAAGCUGCAUCUAUUGAUAGCUAUGAGAGUUGUCCCAUAAACGUAUCAGCUUUGGCUCCCAGCAUUCAUGGAGGAGACUCAAGUCCUAUAGAAAUCAUAAAGUCACCAGGUAAAGUUAUGUUUGACUCUGUUUCUAAAAUCUAUAACUGUCCUUUCUUUCUGAUGAAACCCACCAUCAAAUAUAGAUGACUACUUCCUUGAUAUCACCGUCCCAUUUAUGCAAUUUAUAAGAAUGGGGACAGUGAGUCAUUGAUUCUCAAAUGAAGUAUGUGUCUAUAUAUCCCAGCUUUCUGCAUAUAGUACUCAAAAGAAUUCAGCAGUCUUAAGAUUUAAGAUACACAGGGAAAGACUGAAAAAUCUCCUUAAAACUUGUAGCUAUUUGCUUCCUUGCUUGUUUUUAUGAUAAAAACAACAACAACAACAAAAAUACCACCUCUCUACCUCUCUGGUGCUCAGUUAAAUGUUCUUUUACUGGCUUUUGUUGUUUUUGUUUGCUUGCUUGCUUUGUUGUUGUCUUUGAUUUCUUGAAACAGGAUCUCAUGAUGUAGCCCUGGCUAUCUGGAGCUCACUAUGUAGAUCUGGCUGGCCUCCAAUGCACAGAGAUGUGCCUGCCUCGGUCUCCCACAUGCCAGGAUUCAAAGCAUGUUUCUCCAUGCCUGUCUACAUUUUCUAUUUUGAAUAAUGUUACUCAUAAACACAAACAUCUCUCUCCUCCAAAUGAUAUGCAAAGUAAUGUUACUUUCUCACUUUGUUAUUCUAUAUUAAAUGUGACUCUUCAUAAUCGUUCAAUCUUAAUUAAAUUGUUCUCUCAUAUACUUUACCAGAAAAGUUGAAUCUCAAGUCAGAUAAAAGUAGGAGUUGUUAGAUUUCUUUUUUAUUUAAAUCUGAAAAUUGGAUGAUUUGGAUGAUAGACUGAGUACUCAUCAAAGCAGGAAUUAGUCUUAACAGUGCAUCAAAACACACAUUUUUAUGUUUGUGUAAUUAAGUUUUAAUAAACAUGUUUGAUGGUUACUUGAAAAACAUAAUUUUUCUAUGCAGGAAUGACAUCUUAUACACUAUGAUAUAAAGAGACUUGCAAGACCAUUUGUUUUUAAUUAUAUUUUGAUUAUGAUAAGCAUUUGUUAUUUUUCUAAGUAAAGAUUCAAUUAAUCUUAUAAAUAGAUUUUCUAAAUUUGAGGCUUAAAGGCGAUAUGUCAGACACAACUCUGUAUAUGCACUGCAGUCAGUUUGGGCUUUUUCUGACAUCUUCUAGAAUAUUUGUUAUUGUGUGCAACAUUUUAAUUAGGGCCACAGUUUUGAAAGUGUUUACAAGAUUUCUGUAAUACAAGUGUUCUGUUAAAUGAAUCGUUAGUCAUUAAGAAAUUACAUUUGGAAUUAUUUUUUAGAUUGCUAGUUGAGUUUUUAUUUCAUUCUUGGCUUUUUACAUUUUUAGACAUGGUACAUUUUUAUUACCAGUUGACACCUUGGAAUUAUUCAAGUAAAGCAUGAAAUCAAGAUGUUUUAGACCCACAUAAACAUACAUGGCUCAAGGAAACUAUAACUGAUGGAAAUUUGAGGUGGAGGCACCUUGCAUCUGUUCUGGUGCAUAAAAAAUUGUCUAAUACCUAUUUGAGAAAAAUUCAAGUAAAUACUUUUGAAAUAUAUUGUAAUCACCACUAAGCAUCACAGCUAAAAGCAGGUUUUAAAAGCAUCUUAUGAAUGAUGAGACCAGGAUGUGGCUUUAGGAGCGGGGCAUGGUUCAGGCUGUCAGAGCCAACUCAGUAGAGUUGCUAGGAGGGGGCAUGGUUCGGGCUGGCAGAGCCAGCUCAGUAGAGUUGCCUUUUCUCAGUAAUCCAGCAUGGGGACUAUUCCUUGGCUCGUCGUGGGAACACAAGGCAACAGCGAAAGUUCUAUAUCCACUUUCAAUUGCAAAGAGGAGUCUGGAGAAAAACGAUUAAUUAAAAAUAAAAAAAAGAAAGAAUAAAGAACCCUGAAGCAAGCAGCUGACAGAAGUAUUAUGCAUGUUAGUUGAGGAAAUUUGAUAAAGGGCAACUGCUAAAUUAUCCAGAACCUUCAUCUUCAAAAAUAGCUGGAUAUUUUUUAAUGUGUCCACUAAAGUCUCUAACUCUCAGUUUACUCAUCUGCCAAUUAAUGGAGGAGUUUAAGACUUGACAAGACUCUGGCUUCUCUUAAAAAAUAAAUUGCAUAACUCAGAAAGUAUGUGAUCUUUCUUGUGAAGGGGUUAGCACCUCACUGCAGGGUCUAGCUUCCCAACUCUGUACGUUUGUGUGUGUGUGUGUGUGUGUGUGUGUGUGUGUGUGUGUGUGUGUGUGAGAGAGAGAGAGAGAGAGAGAGAGAGAGAGAGAGAGAGGAGAGAAAUCAUCUUUGCUGUAUCAAGUGAGAGGCUGAGAAUCUCCCAAUGUAGACUUAGAAGUAUGGUCCUGUUUUGUUUCCCUUUGGAUAAAGGCUUGCAUUUGUUUGUGUGCUUGUUUUCUUGUUAUCAGACAGGUAUUGACUAUAUAACAAGGUUUUCUAAACAUUUAUAAGUAAGAAGGGAAUUAACAGCACCUUUCUAAGGUAAAAUAAAAUUUAAAAUGAAAAGAAAAAGGAAAACAUGGGGGCCUAGAAAGAUGACUCAGAGGUUAAGAGCCUAUAAUGUUCUUUCAGAGAACCCAGACUUGGUUCACAGGCACCUGUGGUUCUGUCUCUAAGGGACUCAACACACUCAUCUAGCCUGCAUAGACACCUACAUACACAUGCACAUACCCACACAAGAAACACACACAAUCUUAAUUAAAAAUGAAACCAUGGCAAAGGAGAAGGGGGCGUGAAAAUUAUAUGCAUUAUGGUAAGCCUUCAAGUGUAAUCAGCUAUACUGAUGUUUAAAAAUAAGGAAUUAGUUCUGAACAAUGGUAAAUUUAAUAAGAUAUUAAUAACGGUAUUAUUCAAAGGUAGUUGUUACCUUCUAACGUGUCAAAUGAUUGACAUUCACAUUGACCAGAAAGAAGUGACUGGUUAUAUAGCACGGAUGUGUCUUCCAACAUUCCCACAGCUCUGCGGGUCAGGUGGGUGUAGGGGGAUAGGCUCUCCAGCAAGGAAGCUAGAGAAAGAGAAGAGUUGAGAGAGAUUUAACGACGGGAAUGUGGAGGAAGAGAAAGUAACCUGCAAUUCACAGCUUCGAAGGAUAGUUGUAUAGGAACUAGAUGGAGUGUCAAGAGGCUGCAGAUGGAGGACUAGCAUGGAUGUAAGGCAGAGCCCUUCUACUUAUUCAUUUCCAGACAUUCUUCCUUCAGAGUACAAUUCCAUUACAGGUGCACUAGCUGGAGAUACACCAUUUGUUUACCUGUCUCUUGUUCUUUAAGCCAUCUGUGGUUUGUGGAAAUUGAUAAUCCAGCUAAAUCCAGGGUAUAGGAUUUAUUAUUUAUUAUUAAUUAUCAUUAUUAAUUGUUACAUUGGUUUCCAGAACAAGUAUUUCUUAAUCUCUUUCUUCUUUCUUAACAUGGAUAGCCCACAUGGAAUUUCUUUUUCUAACCAUCUGUGGCCCUCAUUUGGAUAUCAGGUUGGGGUUUUGUUUUUGUUUUUGUUUUUGUUUUUGUUUUUGUUUUUAAUUUUUUGGGGUUUUUUUUUUCAGGGAAAUGAAGAUUACUAAAGUUUGUUCCCCAGGGAUUUUCAUCAAUUGAAGAUUCCUUUUUACCUCUCUGAUUGGAAAUUAUAGAUGGCGUUUUAAGUGUAAAGUAAAAUACUGUCCUUAAGCCUCCUCUUACAAAUGCACUAUUUGUCUUCCUGUGAUUGUUUAAUCUUGUUUUGACAGCAGAUAGAACCCUAGAAUUUGUUGGGCUUUUAUUUCAAAUUAGCUACUGUCCUAAAUAACUAAUUUCUACUACUAUCCAUCAGGCUAAAAUGGGCUUGUUUGCUUGACUGAGGAUGUUAAACUAUCUGUUGGGAGACACAAAAGGACUUGCCUUGGCUUUGAAAGGAGACGGGUCGGAAGCUGGAAAGUGAUAUUCCCCCCUCCCAGUCUCUUCAUAUCUCUAUGGUUCCAUUUAUCUUUUUUUAUAAAGACUCUAUCUGAAGAAAAAUUAAAAGUUAAAAAAAAAACCUUCUUGCUAAACAGACAGUUUAAUUGGUUCCACUAUUUUUGGAAACUGCGAGAUAAAUGCUACAUGUGAAGUUAAUAAACCAUAAUUGGAAUUUGCUUAAGAGUCUUCUUGCAUUCCACGUGGGCCCAUUCACCGCAGGAAGCAAUAGGACCUAGCUGGGUUGCAGUAAUAUAUAAGCCCUUUUCAAAGAACAGUGUGACUUUCUGCAUGACCUUGAGGAAUGUAAUAACUGUUCUAGGUCCCCACUGGACAAUAAACAAAUUGGGGUGGGAAUUGAAGACUAAAAACAAAUACUGUAACUUAAGAAAAAAAAUAAAGAGAAAGUAGUCCAGCAACUGCUAUUUCACUUCUCAGAUGAUAAAGGCUGUUGUAUAUCUGCCAUUUUCACACAUUUUUAUAGUUCUUUUUUCCUCCCAGAAUGACUUUAAUCUUUAUUUGAUUAAUUUUCAGCUAUGUAAGUACAUGGGUUUACCUCUGCACAUGAGCUACCACCUGGGUUUUCCAUAUUAUCAAGUUAUCAGAGACCACCCAUCCAUGGUAUUUACUGGACAGAGUUGCUAUUAUCGUUGCUGUUAUUUCUGUUAAGGAUACAAAGUUGCAUAUAGAGAGAUGUAAAUAAUUUAAUCUCAAACAUGAUAUUCUCAUAGAACUUGGUCCUUUAAUACAUGUUAUCAAUUUGAAAUAUGUAUCAACUUCUUUAAAGAGCUAAGAACAAGAUAAAUCUCAUUUUCUACUUCAUUAUGAUUUAAAAUUUACAAUUAUCUUUUUCUUACAUGAAUGCCCUGAUGAGCACCUAUGCCUAUGCACACAUACACCUAUGUGCUUGCAUACAAGUCAGGGGACUAAUUGCAGGCAUCAGGCUUCAACUUCUUCCAUGUUGGACUUGGGGAUCAAACUCAAUUGGUUAGGCUUGGUGACAAGAACCUUAGCACCUCACCCAUUUGCUGGCCCUCAACCUUAAACUUUUAAGAAACAUUUAAAAAUGUCCCUGGAGUGUAUUUUUAAAGGGAACUUUAUAGGGAUAAGUCUUUAAAGAGAAUGGGUACCCAUUUCCAAUCCGAUUUUAUAGGCAGUUAGCAGAGCUUACAUAUUAUUGACUAGAUGGGAAAUAAAAAAAAAAAAAAAAAAAACACCAAAUGCAUGUCAUUGCAGAUUGUAACAGGCGAUGGAGUAGAAAUUAAAGCACUCUGAAAGUAAAAGAUGACUCCUGUGUGUUUUGCUGACUUUCCUGUGUUCAUGGAGAGAAGCCAGCACAUUGCUGGGUCGAUGUGAGAAUUUAAUGAUCAGGAUCUGUGCGAGUAACCCCUGGAUGCUAGGAAAUGGUGAUGAGCAUCCAUAGAUGGGGAGACCUGUGGGAGUGUAGUGGUCUUGGCUCCUAAUGCCAGAUGACACGCUUGCUAACUGCAGGUGUGAACAUGUUCUCAGAUGUUCCAAUUCUCAAUUUUUUUUCUUCUGUCAAUUGUUUCAUCUAUCCUGGAUAUAAUAAGAUGGCUUUAAAAGAAGAGUUUUCUGUGUUGACCAAAUGAUGAAAGUUUUAAAAUAACAAAGCCUUUUCUUGCCAUGGUAAAAUUUAAAUACCUAGGUAAAAUAGUCAAGGGUUAAAUUGUCAUUUGUGAAGUUGGAUAGGAUUUUAUUGAUAUAUUUGUUCAAGCUGAAACAAGGUCUUAUGUGACGCCUGAGUUGGACGUUAUGUUUCUCUCCCAUGUUGAUGCUUUGACUGGUGGCGAGUGUCAGGAUCUCAUCCCUUCUGCAGUCUGAGGGCUUUGGAACCCAGUUGUCCAGUAGCUCUUGGGCCCAGUCAACUUUACUUCAAGGAACCCACAAAGACUGUUAACUUUUUACAUGUGGACAAGAGGCAAAUGUUUCUUUCAAGAGUAAAUAGUUAUUAUAUUGCUUUUCAAGUGAUACUUAAAAUUUUCAUCGACAUGCUUAUUUGAAAGCAUUGUAAAUACUGGGAAUCAAAACACAGAAGUAUGUAGUCUUUGAGAAGGACUUAACUUAUUUUUAGGUAUAUGUGGAAAUCUGCUUAAUGCAAAUAUCAACUUAAAUUUUUUGAAUUGACCAAUCCUCCUAAAAAAUUAAAUAUACAGAAAAAUAUUGCUUCUCCCUAGAAUAGUAUUUCUUAAAAUUAAAGUUGGAAGACAUGUCUUUAAAGUAAAUUGACCCAAGGAGACAUUCUUAAUGUACAUUAUAUUUACUAACAUUCAGGAUACUAAAAUUAAAAACAGAGAAAUGUGAAGAGAGUAGUUUUAACUAGUAAUGGGCUCUAGCAUUUGGGAGGUAGAAGUAGGAGAAUCAGGAAUUCAUGUUCAAGGAUAGCCUGGCAUCCUAUAAAUAAAUAAAUAAAUAAAUAAAUAAAUAAAUAAAUAAAAGGUUACUCUAAAGUAGCAUACUAGAUUCAUUUCACAAUAAUAUGCCAUUUUGAAAAAAAAAUACAUAGGCACCAAAUACUUUCUAAACUGUUUAGGAAAACAGUCGCAUUGCCUUACCUUAUCCUUGCUAGGUAUAUUUAAUAUCAGUUUAUUGUUUGGAUUGAGAUGGAUGCUUAGAACUUCAUCUUCACCAGUUAAGUCGCAAACAAAUGGAGAGAAAGCAUGGUGAACGGACAGUUCUCAUAAUUGAGGACAUCCUCACUUGGAAACCCAUAAAGCUAACAAGCGCACGUUUCAUAAAAACAAUUGACAUUGUUGGAGCUUUUUAUUGGAACAGGAAAGGCCAUUCACCUUUCUUGCCAUUGGAGAGGUCUUUUUCCCUUAGGCUGACUCUUGUGACCACAGCUCCUUGAAAAAUAAGUGGGUCCUGGGAUAUGCAGAUCUCCCACAUGUUGACACAUUUCACUAUAAAAUCUCAAAAGAAAAAUAAAACCUCUUACAUUUACAAAUAUUACCAUCAAGCUCAUCAGAAAAGUUCUGAUGUUUCAGAAAGCUGUUGUGCUCCUGAUGGUAAAUUUAAGCUUUGCACAAUACUCAUUUUUGCUCCAAAGCUUGAAUUUGAGCACUGGCAACAAUACAGCCAUAUGGUUGAUUUCUUCAAGUGGCUAAGUUGCUUCAUUUAUUUUACGGAGAAUGCCUGUUAAAUACUCAAGUCUAAAUGGCCAUAAUUGUCUUUGCGUGUUUAAAGUAAAAAUAAUAUUCCAUGAAAAUGGAACGGUUCGGCUCACAACCCAAAAGCACAACUGCUUUCCUGCCAGACAAGGCCUUCAUGUGGUUUUUCCAGAUGAGAACACUUCCUUCCACUUCCUGUCACCCCCUAUUGCAUAUUAAAAAAAAAUAUCAGAGGUCAAGAUUUAAUUAAAUUGAUAAUGUCUUUUUAUUUUUGCUUCAAGAAUGGUUUGAGUAUUUUUUUUUUUUGGUGGGUUCAAAUUAGCAUUUGUUUUCAAAGUGAGUAAGUGCUGGAGAACUCCUCUGUGAAUACUUAUGGUUUUCAGAGAGAAGGUCUCAUCUGCGGGAGAACACUUCUUUGGCCCAUCAAUGCAAAUGUCAGCACAAUGAAAAGGAUGCUAUUUUACCAACUUUAUGGAAACAGUUUUGACCUCAGAAAUAUUCUGGGAUCAUCCAAUAUCCUUAGGUAACCAAAUUCAAUUAUAUUUGUAUAUGACAACAAUACUGACAUAUUUUGUAUAUUUUUAACAUUAAUAACACUAAAUCUUAGGUUUUGUGAACUACUUUGAUAACCCAAUCACUUUGUUAUCAUUCCAGAUUCCAGUGCAGUUGUCAGUUUUCUUAAGGUACCCCUUCAUGUCAGAAGUGUUCAUUGAUGAGGUUUUGCUGUUAGGAAUUACUCUUAAGUCGUUUUUGAAAAUAUUCUUCCUCCCCUGUGCAUUUGAAUGCAAACAGCAAAUACAUGGCUUCAGGGAUGACCACUCAGCAAUGGAUAAACAAUAAGGCAGGUCAUUCCUAGAGGAGGACAAGCCCCUUUCUCCCAGCGGUCAUUAGUUGCCUAGGAGUUGCCUAGGAGUUGGACCCUGUGAAAUUUUCUCCCUUCUUCAUUAACAUUGAUAUUGUUACUCUUCAAUAAUGUUGACAUUGCCAUUGUUCCAAUAUUGUUUGGGCAGCCAUUCCUAGAGGAGGCUGUCUCACAGUGGACUGACUACCUGGUGUUCUGAUUCCUAUACUCUGUCUGCUUCCUUUUUCAUGAUUUUCCCUGAGCUAAAGAUUGCAGAAGCUGUAAUGUAGAUGUAUCUAUUGGUCCUGGGCUCCCUGUGAUCUGUUUAUCUCUACACUGUGUCCUCCUGUAGUUUUCUGUGGUAGUCUUCAUUAGCUGUGAUGAGGGGUGGUAGCUAGACUUACCUGUAGGUAUAGGAUUAGAUUUGACAGAAGUAAAGGAUAAGCUGGUCUUUCAAAGUAGUGAUAGUGGGUGUUUUCCAAGGCUCAUGAUUAUACUAGAUCCAGAUAGGGUUAACGACCUACUGAAUUAAACUCAGGUAUAAAGUGUGCUAUUACAUUAAAUAUACUAUCAUGUUCACACACUGGAAGAGGAAAUCUGUGAGAAGACACAGAGUUUGCAUAUGAGGAUUUUGUGUACUAUAAGAAGCACAAAACACACAUAACUGGUCCCUCUUUUUGGGGUUUUAAACAGAAUCACACCUUUGGGGUAUAGUAAAAUAACCCCCAAAUGAAAACAUAGAUGGUAAAAUUUGCUUCUCUUUCUUAAUUUUCUUAAUUUUUCAGUUGUUUUUAUAUAGACUAGAGCAGUGUGUUAACUUGCUGUAAUAAAACCUGCCACGCAUGUGCCUAUAACUGGACUCCAGGAGAAAACUCUGCCAGGCAACUGUUUCUUAAUGAUACAAUCUGCAUAUUUUAAUGAGGCUGGAAAUGUAGGAAACUGUGUAGACCCUAGGCUCUGCUCAUUCUGGGUUUUCCCCUAGUAGUCUGUACAUUGUUUCCCUUCAUUAACAUAUUAUAGUGGGAAGUGAGGUUCCGAUCAGCACCCACCAGACUGAUAUAGCUUGACAUUUUCAGACUUGAGAUGAAAUACUAAUAACCUUUCUGUGGCGACUCCAUGUUGUGCUUCGUCUAAUGAUCACUCAAGUCAUAGAGAGGCCACCAUGGCUACCACACUACACAGCAUAACAACAAAGGCAAACUAACUAUGACAGAGCAAGGCUUCUGAAGAUGCAAGGACCAUAUCCCUUUUUCUCUUGUCGUUUCUCUUCCCUUCUCAGUUUUGUUAUACAAGUUUGUGUUGGCAAGUUUUAUACCAACUAGAUAGAGGAUAAAGUCAUUUUGGGAAAAGGGAAAAUGCUCAGUUGACAAAAUGCUCCCGUGGGAUUGGCCUGAAGGCAAACCUGUGGUAUAUUUUCUUGAUUGAUGUGGAAGGUUCCAGCUCACUGUGUGUGGUUUAACUCUGGAACAAUGGUCCUGGGUGCUGUAAGAAAGCAGGCUGAGCAAGCCAUGGGGAGAAAGCCAACAAGAAGGACCUCUCCAUGGCCUCUGCAUCAACUCCUGCCUCCAGGUUCCCACCCUGCUUGAGUUUCUGCUCUGACUUUCUUCAGUUAUGAACUGUAAUGUGAAGUGCAAGUGAAAUGAGCCCUUUCCUUUCCAAGUUGCUUCAGGUCAUGAUGUUUUAUGAUGGUAAUAGAAACCCUAAGAUGGAGUUCUUAAUUUUCUUUGUUUGUUGUACUUUCUCAACUCCUUGAACAUUUGCUUUCUUUUGUGUGUGUGUGUGUGUGUGUGUGGUUUUUUCUUUUUCUUUUUUUAUUUAUGUAUUAGGUGUUUUCUUCAUUUACAUUUCCAAUGCUAUCCCAAAAGUCCCCCAUGCCCUCCCCCACCACUCCCCAACCCACCCACUCCCACUUCUUGGCCCUGGUGUUCCCCUGUACUGGGGCAUAUAAAGUUUGCAAGACCAAUGGGUCUCUCUUCCCAAUGAUGGCCAACUAGGCAAUCUUCUGAUACAUAUGCAGCUAGAGACAUGAGCUCCAGGGUGUACUGGUUAGUUCAUAUUGUUGUUCCACCUAUAAGGUUGCAGACCCCUUUAGCUCCUUGGGUGCUUUCUCUUGUUCCUCCAUUGGGGGCCCUGUAAUCCAUCCAAUAGCUUACUGUGAGCAUCCACUUCUGUGUUUGCUAGGCACCGGCAUAGCCUCACAAGAGACAGCUACAUCUGCUUUCUUAUUUUUAAUUUUCUUUUCUCUAUGUCUUAUACCCACUAACCAAAGGCAGGUACAAUAUGAGUUACUUGAUAUCCAUUAUUUUAUUUAACAUACAAUAUUGUAAAAUAAGGAUAAAUGUAAAUUAUUUCUAUAUAUACAUAAAGACAUAUUCGGGAAUACAAACUUUAUAUGUGUAUAUGAUAUUGAUAAUGCCAGUAUGCAAUUAAAUAAUAUGUUAGAGAUAAGCAUGUAUGAAUUUGGUAAGAUCACAUGAACUGUGUAAUCCAUGCAACUAAAAAGUUGACUCUGAACUGAACCAGACUUAUGUAAACCUGUCAGUAAUCAUGGUUCAUCUUUUACACUAGAACAAUCAGAAGUAUGAAUUAUUUUUAUGUUGCAUUUUUCUUAGCUCCUAAACCACUCAAUUUAAUCAUGUGCAAAUUGAUGGUGGUGUGCUUUACCAGUCUGGCCCAGCUACACAUAAAUAUAUAAAAUUCAGAAUUGUCCUAUAUCAAACUACCUGUACCAAAAAUCCAUGAGGAAAUGCCCAGAACAGAUUGAGCCUUCAAACUGAAGUCAAAGAACAUUUGCAUUUACAUCUAUAUUAUUUGGAUAUGCAUGAUACUUAGAUUACAUUUUAGAAACAUAUUAUCUAAAUGUGCCUUCAAAACUGCUAGAUUAUAAGUGAAUACAUAAUUUGGAAUUGAAAUAAUUUUUACCAAGACAGUCAUCUUUAUAAAAGUAGAUAUUAACAUUUCAAAGGGGAGGUAUUCUCUCUACCUAAACAUCAAGUUUCUUUGGUGGUUAUUAACAUUUUUCAUAGUAUCUCAGACUUACUGCAAUGCAACUUCAUAUUCUAUAUUACCCUGGUCACUUUCCAGAAUUUCUUCACUGUGACUCUUCGGAGGCCUUGAUUAUAAAUUCCUUUCCUUGUAAUGAAAUUCUGGGCUAUACAGAUUGUUGGAACAUUAGUUGCAGUGGGUGAACCAAAGAUUUAUUCAUAGUUCUCAAGAGAAGAGGCAUGGGCCAAAGAAGCAGUCCACUAGAAGAGCUUAAUGUAGAGAUGUCAUGUGACUUCAAAGGCAGAGAUCUGAAUUCACUGUAGUGGUUAUGUGCCAAUAAGCUGGGAUAGUCCAAAAAUCUUCACAUUACCAAAUCACCUGAAGCAGUUGAUACCCUAAAUAAAUCAAGAAAUGUGAUGAACUGUUUCCAAAUAUUACUGUGGGAGGCUACAGAGAUGGUUCAAUGGUUAAGAGUAUUGAGUUAAGAGGACCCUGGUUCAAUUCCCAGUGUCCACAUGUUGGUUCAUCUGUAACUCUAGUUCUUGUGGACUCCAUGCCCUCUUUUGGCCUCUGCAAGCAUCAGACAUACUUGUACUACAGAGACAUGUAGGUAGGAAAAUAUAGCCAAACACAAAAUAAAUGGUCACUUUAAAUAAGCUUUCUAGGGAAGGUUCCGCUGUGUUUGUGUUCAGUCCCUGCUCCUACUGAGCAGGCACAUGAAACACUUCACAAGCUGUCACUUGUGCCUGCGAUAUGCCAACCUGAGGCUUUUCUCAUGCUCUCUUAGCUAACUGUCACUUCCCGUCCAUCCAUGUCAUGAUUCACACAAAUGGCGGCCCACAAUGAGAUUGAUUCAUGGUCGGGUGAGGAAAUUAUGUUGACCGCUGUGUCAGGUACAAAAUGCAUUCUCAAACUAUUGUCCCUUUGUUGAAGAAAAUUAUACCCCAUAAAGAUGCAAAUAGGACCAUGUAUGUAGAGAUGUACAGAAGAUGUAGAAUGUUCUCCUUCUGGAACAGUGCCUGUAAAGUGGUUUCUGUGUUCUCAGUAGUCUACAUUCUUGUUGUAGAAAUCAGGCUUAAGAUUCUGUACCUUAAUACGAAACCUACUUAACUGUGACUCGGACUGUUUGGAUGGUCUAGACACAGUGAAUACUGGAUCUUGUGACCCAUUUGCCUUCUCAACAAAAGCAUGGAUUCAGAUAUGCCAGAAUCACAAUCUUCAUUUUGGGAGGGACAUUGUUUCAAGAAUGUGGCCAAAAUGAGGCUGAUAUGAAAGGCAUCUCUGCUCCUCACAGCUUUUGUGACCCAUCCUCGUUUUCCUGCUGACCACUUUGACCAAAUCUUCAAAAUGUGUUUGGUGUUCUUGCUAAGGCUGAAAAGAACCAUUUCAUGGAGAAUAAACCAUCAUAAACACAAGGUGUAGAAAAGCAGCUGACCCAGCUCAGUAUUUUCUUUGAUUCUGAACUAAUGAUGCUAUUCCUUAAAAAAUGUAUUAUAAUGUGAGUGUUUAGUACGAUGCCCAACAACCUGGAAUCUCUAUAGAAAAUAGGCACAGGUCUGAAAGAUGUAAUAGAUUUUGGACAACAAAAUUGUUGGGUUUUUUUUCCCUUUCAUCUUAUGAAGCAUUUUCUUGAAAGAAUUCUUCAAUAUUUUUCAGUGUCUGGUUGUGUAUACUGUUUAAUCAGUCAUAGAGAAAUGAGAUAUGUGAUUUUGCAUAAAGGUACUUUAGCUUUUUGACAAGGUAGAUGAGUAUCCCAUGUGAUGAGAUUAUUGCUACAUAAAGUUUAUAGAGGAUGUGUACCUACUUCUUGAUCAGGGCCUAGAUUAAACUCUUUUUUUUUUCACUAUUAUUGUAUAGUGAAUUAGUGCAAAAUAAGGUUGACAUUGAUUAAAAAUAUUUUAUUUAUAUUAUCCAUUUUGAGACUUUGUUACAUGUAUAUUAAUUUUUAAGACUUCUACCCUCCCUCUCUUCUGUCAACUUCCUUCUGUGCCUCCUUCAAUUCAUGACCUUAUCUUUCGUUAUAAAUGCAUACAUAAACACAUACACACACACACACACACACACACACACACGGACACACACACACGGACACACACAUACUCACUACUGAGUCCAUUUAGUGUUAUUUGUAUGUGCACAUUUAGGGCUGACACCUUGAGGUUGGAUAAGCCCCCUUCUUAACAAGAUUUUGUUUUGAACUACUAGAGUUUAAAAAAUAUUUCAUUAAUAACUCUUUGCAAGUUUCUUACAAUGGAUUUUGACCAUAUUCACCCAGAACUCCUUUGAACUCCUUCCUAGAUCUACCCCACCCCUAUACUCCCUUCAACUUCAUGACCUUCGAUUUUUCUACAAACACAUCAACUCUUAAUUUGUCAUAGCCAUACACUUCAGGCACCAUCCACUGGAGUAUAGUAUGGGCACCCACCCAGGACCCACACCCUUAAAGAAAACUGAUUCUCUGAUCUGGAAAGAGAUGCUUUGAUGGAUAAGAGCACUUGUUGCUCUUAGAGAAAACCUGGGUUAUAUUCUCAGAACCCACAUGGUGGUUCACAGGCAUCCAUAAUUUCAGUUCCAGUGCACCUGGCAACCUUUUGUGGCCUCUCUGGGCACCAGCUACUCAUAUGGUACAUAUAUAAACAUUCAGGUGAAACAUUCAUACACAUUAAAUAAAAAAAAUCACUAAACCAGAAAAAAAUUGAAUAAAAAACUAUUAUAACUCUCCCAGAAACUAUACUUUUAAGUUAACCUAACAUCAAAAGUGGAAUAAUAAUUUGGAUAUCUAAAAAAAAUAUUUGAAAUUCACAGUUUGAUGUUUCUUGAAUAAAGUUUUGUUGAUUUAUGCCAUUAAUGACAUGCUGUCUGGGGGGUAGACUUCUGCAUUACAGAAGCCUAGUCUAUACUUGCAAUUGAGGUCUGACUAUAGGUGUCCCUCACUAGUGCUCCACAAAUUACAAUGAUAUUGUGGCAACAUCUCCUUUGCCACAUGUCCCCAGGGUGUGAAAAGCCACCUCCAAAGACAAAAGAAGUAAAAGUUCACUGUGAAUCAGCAUUCACAGUGAUUACUUCCAAUAAUUUCUCACAACAGCUACCUCUUACUUUGAACCCAAAUUAAGUACAAUGUUAGUACACACAUGUACAAAGAAUUCCAACAGUUUUAUUAGAAGAAAUGUAGUGCAGACACUCAGUUAUCAGUAUUACAUUUUGAAUGUCCUAAAUAUGUAGGGUUUUUUUCUUGCUAUAAAAUAUUUACUGCAUGUGAUUAAUUGUGUCACCUAGUGUGCAAGGGUUAAGAUACCGGUGUGAUGGGAUCUUGCACAGAAAAGGCAUGGUGCCCACUUUUAUAGAUCGCCAAACACACACAAUUCACAAAGUAGUUAUUUCAUUGUGGGAAAUGUUUCAAUGCAGUGGAGUCAUCCUUUUAAAAAUAAGAUUUUCUCUGAUUGCACAAUAUAUGGUAUUAAUACAAAAUUUUGCUAUGUGAGGUUUUUUUCCCCCCCUUAGUGCUCUGAGACAUAAAGGAAAUACACAGAUACAUUUCUGCCACUGCAACAAUAUAAAAAUAUUCCUGACAUUUCUCAAAUCUUUUAUAUUUUGCAAACUAUAUUCAGUAUCAUAUGAAACUUUGAAUAACUUUUCAUUGUAUUCAAAAAUCCCUGUUAGUAUUAUUUUUCAAACAUGUAUUUGUUAUUUAUUUCAUUUGUAUGCAUGUUUAUCCUCAUGUAUAUCUGUGUGCCAUGUGCAUGUUGAUACCCAGAAAGAAGCAGAAGGUGUUAGAUCCUCUGUAACUGGAGUCCCAGAUGAUUGUGAGCCACCAUGUGGGUGCUAGGAAUUGAACUGUGACCUUUUGAGCCCUUAUUGACAUUACUUUUAUAGGUGAACUUUAGACACUUCUUUAUACAAGCCAUAACCCGGAGCCUCCCUCUGCUAAGACUAUUAACAUAUUUUGGGUUUUACUUUUAUUGCCAUGGAGUUACUAUUAAGAAAAGCUUCUGAAAUUUUAUUUUCUCUGCAUUGGUGUAUUUUUUUCAGAAGUCUUUUUAAAUGAUAUGUCACCUUCAUUCAUUUAAAAUGCUAGCCAACUGAAAAGCUUAGGUAGCCCAACCUAGUUUUUAAUUGACUGAUAAAAUGGAGGCUGCUUUAUUUUACAGAAGCUAGAGAAAGCGUGGAGGCUCUGAUUCUAAAUAGAUGAGUUCUACCAAGCUUUCAAGCUUCCAGAAGCUAGAAUUAGACAGAGAGCCAGCCCAUGGAGAAACUAUUCAAUGACGUGCACUCGUAUGUAUAAAGUGCUUGGCUAAGAUCAGUUUCAGCUACCAAAGGAUGUUAACAACAGCCUGUCUUCCCCUCCUCAGAAAGAGGAAUAUUCCCUCUGAAGAAUGUAUAUAGCUACUGUGGGAAAAGCCUCUCCCACUCUCCAGACUUUGAGAUGCUCCAGCCAUGCUGCUUCAGAUAUUAAUGGCCUAGACCCUUGUCACAGAGCAGCUCAGUCACCCACUAUAUUUGAUUGUUGUAUGAAUUAGAUUAGAUCCUACAUGUAAAACACUUAACUUAGCCUAGAAGGAGUCAGCACUCCAACACCUUCCUACAAACCCCCAGUAAACCUGAGACAUGACAAGAGAGGUCAUCUUAUUCUUGGUGGCCUUUGGAAAAUUCCUCUUGCCUGCAUAGGAGAAUCUCUGCUGCAUGAAACAGAUGUGCUUUGCAGUCAACCUGACUAACCUAAAAGAUUGUGUGUGUGUCCAUGUGUGUGUGUGUGUGUCUGUGUGUGUGUGUGUCUGUGUGUGUGUGUGUCUGUGUGUGUCUGUGUCUGUGUCUGUGUGUCUGUGUGUGUGUGUGUGUGUGUCUGUGUGUGUCUGUGUGUGUGUGUCUGUGUGUGUGUGUGUCUGUGUCUGUGUGUGUGUGUCUGUGUGUGUGUGUCUGUGUGUGUGUGUGUCUGUGUGUGUCUGUGUGUGUGUGUGUGUGUGUGUGUGUCUGUGUGUGUGUGUGUGUCUGUGUGUGUGUGUCUGUGUGUGAGUGUGUGUGUAAGUUUGAGGUCAACAGCACAAACUCCAUUCCACGGCUACUUUUAAAAUCUUCCUUUACUGCUUCCUAUUGAAAUAGUAAAUGUUAACAAAAGAAAUGUUUAAACAAAGCACUAUUAGGCUUUAGUCUAAUGCCUUUUAUGCUUCUGUUUAAUUCAGACAAACUGGCAGGGUUCAUUCUUUUUUUCCUGCUUCACUUAAAAUGGUUACAGAAAAAUGACCUUUCUCACAAUCUGUGUUCUUCCUCAAAUUUAUUUCUCAAGAAUUUUAGUGCACCUUAAUUUUUUAAAGGAAAAAAAACACCUAUUAUAAUUUGUUAAUCUAACUCUGCUGCCAAGUUGGCUAUGUUAACAAUAAACUGGAUGCAAAAACUCCCCCAGCUGGAAUGCUGAGUACCAAGCUGAAAAGUUUGGCAGUUUAAUUGACAUUUUAUAGUGUUCCCAAGCACAAGCAGAAGCUCAUUUCACUCAAGGUUAUAUACAGAUAGAUAGAUAGAUAGAUAGAUAGAUAGAUAGAUAGAUAGAUAGAUAGAGAUGUAUAUAUGUGUGUGUGUGUGUGUUUCAGUUGUUAUAUACAUUAGCAUACAUGUACAUACAUACACAUAUUUAUCUGUCUUGGCAGUUAUACUAUAAAUGGACGAAGUAGGUUUUUUUUCUUUAAUAUACAUGCAUGGAUGCUUAAUGUAACAUAGAAAAGAAGUAAAUGUUUGGUAAUUUGAUAGAGUGUUAGUAUGGAAAGAAGCAUUUUUUCCAUUGCAUUAAUACCAACAGAAAAGACAAAAUAUUCUCCUGUGGGUGGAAUUGUAUAAGUAAAUAAUAAUUUACAUUUUAAAGUAUUCACUCUGACUCCCUAGAAAUGUGCAUAGUGGGGUAGUCUUUGUGAAGUUAAUGAAGAUAAAAACUGGGAUAUGUCUGAAUCUAGUAGAACUGGAGAGAGAGAGAGAGAGAGAGAGAGAGAGAGAGAGAGAGAGAGAGAGAGAGAGAACAUUUUAUGCCAAGUAAAAUGGUACACAUCUUUAGUCCCAGCACUAGUAAGAGAAAGAAGAUGGGGAAAAAAAUCCAGCCAGAGGCCUGACUGGGUUUCUUUGCUCUAGAGUAUAAACAGUGAGUGUCUGAAUGUUUAAGUGUGUGAUUACAAUAGCCCUGGUAAAGUAAUAUGCAUUCCUUACAGGAAAUAGAAUAUCUUACAGAAGUUGUCUACAAUGAACAUCACACUCACAGAAAGAGAGAGAGAGAGAGAGAGAGAGAGAGAGAGAGAGAGAGAGAGAGAGAGA